UAACACUGAGAAUAUUCCAUCAAGACCUAUGGAAGCUAUGAAUUGCAACUCUAUUGACUUACUAUUAAGGAAGAAUAUAAAAAGCAUGAAGAGGCUUCGUAACAGAGGAAAUGAUCAGGCCGAUGAAUCAAGCAAAUAUAACAGAGGAAAACAGAGACUAUAUCUGUUUUUAUUUAACCAUCAAUUUUCAUGGGAAAAUCGACAACAAAAACAGUCUGCCUGUAAACUGUCCAAAUAUAGCCUGUGGUCGAGGGGAUUCUCUAAUGGAAGUGUCUGGAAAGUAAAGCAUGAAGAGGCUUCGUAAGUAUACAUAAAAGAGUAGAACCGACACAUCAAAGGUAAGUAUAUUGUAGACGUUAACAAAAAUAGACAAAAUGCAACAUCGAUGUGUAUUAUGAGGCAAUUACCAUUGGAACUCCAAGCGGUAUUGUUUUGUAGCUGAUUGGAGGAUCUUAAAAUCUUUCAAGAAAUAAUGCCAACACAUUUUAUUA
rnacentral:lncRNA from 1 species